rnacentral:misc_RNA from 1 species
GAUGAAGAACGUAGCGAAAUGCGAAAAGUAAUGUGAAUUGCAGAAUUCAGUGAAUCAUCGAAUCUUUGAACGCACAUUGCGCCCGCCAGUAUUCUGGCGGGCAUGCCUGUCUGAGCGUCAUUUCAACCCUCGCGCCCCUAGGGCGUGGUGUUGGGGAUCGGCCAAGGCCCGCAAGGGACGGCCGGCCCCUAAAUCUAGUGGCGGACCCAUCGUGGCCUCCCCUGCGAAGUAGUAAUAUAUUCCGCAUCGGAUAGCGAUGAGCCCCUGCCGUUAAACCCCCAACUCUUUCAAGGUUGACCUCAGAUCAGGUAGGAAUACCCGCUGAACUUAAGCAUAUCAAUAAGCGGAGGA